ACCCGGAGGAAGAGAAAUCAAACGAGAUGCCCACAGUAGCGGCGAGCGAAGAGGGCAGAGCCCAAACCUGUAAGCUACGGCUUAUGGGGGUUGAGGACUGACGUAAUUAAGGCCAGGCUUAGCUGAACUACCUGGGAAGGUAGGCGAUAGAAGGUAAGAGCCCUGUAAGCGAAAGGCAGAGCCUUAAGGUCAGUAUCCAGAGUACCACGGAGCACGAGGAAUUCUGUGGGAAGCAGGGGGGACCACCCUCCAAGGCUAAAGACUAACUGGCGACCGAUAGCGCAUAGUACCGUGAGGGAAAGGUGAAAAGAACCCCGGGAGGGGAGUGAAAUAGUACCUGAAACCGUAUGUCUACAAGCAGUCGGAGCGAAAGCGACGGCGUGCCUAUUGAAGAAUGAACCAACGAGUUAUCUGCACUAGCGAGGUUAAGUGGAAGACACGGAGCCGUAGCGAAAGCGAGUCUGAAAAGGGCGAUGAGUUAGUGUAGGUAGACCCGAAACCGCAGUGAUCUACCCAUGUCCAGGUUGAAGCGCAGGUAAAAAUGCGUGGAGGACCGAACCGGUGAGCGUUGAAAAGCUUUCGGAUGAGAUGUGGGUAGGGGUGAAAUUCCAAUCGAACGCGGAGAUAGCUGGUUCUCCCCGAAAUAGCUUUAGGGCUAGCCUCAGGUAGUAAGUAUAGGCGGUAGAGCACUGAUCGGGCUAGGGGCCAUAAAGGUUACCGAACCCUGUCAAACUCCGAAUGGAUAUACUGCAGAGCCUGGGAGUCAGACUACGAGUGAUAAGAUCCGUGGUCAAAAGGGAAACAGCCCAGACCACCGGCUAAGGUCCCAAAUGCCGUACUAAGUGGAAAAGGAUGUGGGGAUUCAUAAACAACCAGGAUGUUGGCUCAGAAGCAGCCACCAUUUAAAGAGUGCGUAAUAGCUCACUGGUCGAGAGUCCCUGCGCCGAAAAUUUCCGGGGCUAAAGUACGGAACCGAAGCCGUGGCUGUGUACUUAGGUGCACGGGGUAGGGGAGCGUUGCCACAGGGGUGAAGCUGGUCUGGAAGGACUGGUGGACUUGUGGGAAGUGAGAAUGUUGGUAUGAGUAGCGAAAAGAAAGGUGAGAAUCCUUUCCACCGAAAGCAUAAGGAUUCCUGAGCAACGAUCGUCGUCUCAGGGUAAGUCGGGACCUAAUCCGAGGCAAAGAGCGUAGGAGAUGGACAACAGGUUGAUAUUCCUGUACCGGCAGCAAUUGUUUGAGCGAAGGAGUGACACAGAAGGGCAGGCAGGCGCGAGACUGGAUUGUCGCGUGCAAGCGUGUAGGGUAGUGUACAGGCAAAUCCGUACACUGAGAGCCUGAGGCGUUACGCGGAGCGAGCAGAGAUGCGAGCGAAGCUGCUGAUCCCACACUGUCGAGAAAAGCUUCUAGUGAGAGAGCUGCCGCCCGUACCGUAAACCGACACAGGUAUGCGGGGAGAGAAUCCUAAGGUGCGCGGGAGAACCCUCGUUAAGGAACUCGGCAAAAUGUACCCGUAACUUCGGGAUAAGGGUAGCCGUCUUGGUGAAGGAACUUGCUUCUGGAGCUAAAGGCGGUCGCAGAGAAGAGGCCCAAGCGACUGUUUACCACAAACACAGGUGCCUGCUAAAGCGAAAGCUGACGUAUAGGUGCUGACACCUGCCCAGUGCUGGAAGGUUAAGGAAGGAUGUCCGGGCAACCAAAGCAUUCGACCGAAGCCCCAGUGAACGGCGGCCGUAACUAUAACGGUCCUAAGGUAGCGAAAUUCCUUGUCGGGUAAGUUCCGACCCGCACGAAAGGUGUAACGAUUUGGGCACUGUCUCAACGAGGGACCCGGUGAAAUUGAAAUACCUGUGAAGAUGCAGGUUACCCGCGACUGGACAGAAAGACCCCAUGGAGCUUUACUGUAACCUGACAUUGGGUUUUGUUGUAUUACGUACAGGAUAGGUGGGAGGCUUAGAAGGCUGGACGCUAGUCUGGCUGGAGCCGGCGUUGGGAUACCACCCUUGAUACAACGGAAUUCUAACCGAGAGAGUAACGAAAUCCGGGACAGUGUCAGGCGGGCAGUUUGACUGGGGCGGUCGCCUCCGAAAGAGUAACGGAGGCGCCCAAAGGUUCCCUCAGCGCGGCCGGAAAUCGCGCGAAGAGUGUAAAGGCAGAAGGGAGCUUGACUGCGAGCCAAACACGGCGAGCAGGUACGAAAGUAGGGCUUAGUGAUCCGGUG
rnacentral:rRNA from 1 species